rnacentral:rRNA from 1 species
GCAUCGGAGUCCGAUUUAGCCAUGCUAGUUGUGCGGGUUUAGACCCGCAGCGGAAAGCUCAGUAACACGUGGCCAAGCUACCCUGUGGACGGGAAUACUCUCGGGAAACUGAGGCUAAUCCCCGAUAACGCUUUGCUCCUGGAAGGGGCAAAGCCGGAAACGCUCCGGCGCCACAGGAUGCGGCUGCGGUCGAUUAGGUAGACGGUGGGGUAACGGCCCACCGUGCCCAUAAUCGGUACGGGUUGUGAGAGCAAGAGCCCGGAGACGGAAUCUGAGACAAGAUUCCGGGCCCUACGGGGCGCAGCAGGCGCGAAACCUUUACACUGUACGAAAGUGCGAUAAGGGGACUCCGAGUGUGAAGGCAUAGAGCCUUCACUUUUGUACACCGUAAGGUGGUGCACGAAUAAGGACUGGGCAAGACCGGUGCCAGCCGCCGCGGUAAUACCGGCAGUCCGAGUGAUGGCCGAUCUUAUUGGGCCUAAAGCGUCCGUAGCUGGCUGAACAAGUCCGUUGGGAAAUCUGUCCGCUUAACGGGCAGGCGUCCAGCGGAAACUGUUCAGCUUGGGACCGGAAGACCUGAGGGGUACGUCUGGGGUAGGAGUGAAAUCCUGUAAUCCUGGACGGACCGCCGGUGGCGAAAGCGCCUCAGGAGAACGGAUCCGACAGUGAGGGACGAAAGCUAGGGUCUCGAACCGGAUUAGAUACCCGGGUAGUCCUAGCUGUAAACGAUGUCCGCUAGGUGUGGCGCAGGCUACGAGCCUGCGCUGUGCCGUAGGGAAGCCGAGAAGCGGACCGCCUGGGAAGUACGUCUGCAAGGAUGAAACUUAAAGGAAUUGGCGGGGGAGCACUACAACCGGAGGAGCCUGCGGUUAU